UCACCAUCCAGGUAUUCAAAAACAGCAUAAACACUCAAAAGCUCAGAUUGAACCUCCACUCAGUGAGUGUGAGUGAGCUUUUAGAAUACGGGCGUAAGACUACACUUUACAUAAAGCUGGACUCACAAAGACGUCGUUUAUUGUACUUCUAUCGAGUUUGCAAUCUCUUCUAUAACUAUCAUUUCACAAUGAUCUUUAUGUUUAGGAAAAUUAGAUUACAUGGCAUGUAGCUUUAUAGAACAAAUCAUUUACAUCACAACACUCUGUAUAUGCAUUCAGUGACUAAAUUCUAACUUUACAACCCAAUUAGAGAUAUUCGGUACGAGAUAUUUUCGGAUCGGUAUACACAAGAUACAAGAAAUCUUCGGAUUGAUAGGGAUACAAACCAGAAAAAUACAAGAACUUUGACCUUUCGAGCGAAGUGUCUUCAUUGGGAAGUUAGUUGCCCACUACCUUCCCGACAAAGUGCCUUCGCUCAAAACUUCGAAGUUCUCUGCCUUGUAUUGUUUGAGGUAGCGGUAUCCCUAUCAUCCAAGCUUUCUUAUUACUGGCAAUGGCACUGCCGUUCUGGCCCUUUAAUAACGGAAAUUUAAAGCAGACUUUGCAAAGUGCAAGCACCGCCUGCGACAAUUUUGGAGGAAUUUCAACCGUACAUCCAAUUAAGAAACUAACGCAAUAUAGACUUACAUUCCAGCCUCCUCCGCAGGCAUCUCACUGAGGAAUCGGGUAGAGGCCUGCGGAGGAGGCUACUUACAUUCUAAGAUUGGCACUUCUUACUUGGGCGUAUCACGGAAUUUCUACUUCUAGUGCAACAAAAUCGAUGAUUUUGGUAUAUAGGAAAAUUCGGUAUACCAGUGUGACUGGAAAACUCGUACUGAUAUGAAAGCUUCGGAUUGAUAUAGGGAUGCAACUCUUGUAUUUUUUUUGGCAGUUACAUCCCUAUCAAUACGAAGCUUUCAUAUUAUAUUGGCACAAGGUAAUAUACAAAUAUUGGAUUAAUUACCGGUAUUUUUAGAGAACGGUAUACCGAACAGGCCUAAACCCAAUAUACCCAAUAUACAUUGGGUUGCAUACACGCGUAAAAACGCUCGGGCUGUUGAAAUAUUGAUGAAAACAGGAUUGAACAAUGUUUUGCUGCCCACAUUGUUAACAAUAUUGAACAAUAUUGUUACACCCGAUUCAGGCUCAACAAUAUUGUUCAAUAUUGUUGACAAGUGUGAACAACGUGGGCAGCAAAACAUUGUUCAGUCCUGUUGAGCAGUGGGCUCGGCGUUUUUUGCCGUGUAGAUGACGUGACUUUGGCUAUAGGGCCUCGUUUUAGUGGUGCUUCAGUUAUAGCGGUGCCUUGCAUUGGAAUAAUCUUCCCCAUGAGGCAAAAAUUCCUGAAUCUCUUUAAAAUAUUAAUUUUAAAAAGAAUGAGUUGAAACUUGCUCGUGUAUGAUCGUGCACUAAAAAUCAUUGUAUUUUCUUGUUCCCUUUCCUGCAAUCUAGUCUUAUUUUAUCUUUUUUCAUAUUUCUUUACUUUUUGGAAAUAGUUAAUUCUAUAUUUCACAC
rnacentral:lncRNA from 1 species